rnacentral:rRNA from 1 species
AGCUAUAUGUUUUUAUAUUUAGUUUUUUCUGCCAUGUGAUAUUUUAACGGCCGCAGUACUUUGACUGUGCUAAGGUAGCAUAAUCAAUUGACUUUUAAUUGAAGUCUAGAAUGAAUGGAAAAUUGGGAAAAUUCUGUCUCUUUUAAUUUUUUUUUAAAUUACUGCUAAGGUGAAAAUACCUUAAGUUUUAAAAAAGACGAGAAGACCCUUAGAGUUUUUUUGUUGGGGUGACAUUUAAGCAAACCUUAUUUUUUGAUAAAAUAAACUACCUUAGGGAUAACAGCAUAAUUUUUUAAAAAGAUUGUGACCUCGAUGUUGGACUAGGAAAUUUAUAAUUAGAAAUUAAAAUAAAAGGUUCUGUUCGAACUUUUACUCCU